rnacentral:rRNA from 1 species
CGCCGCGGUAAUACCGGCGGCUCGAGUGGUGGCCGCUUUUAUUGGGCUUAAAGCGUUCGUAGCUGGGUUAUUAAGUCUCUUGGGAAAUCCGGCGGCUCAACCGUCGGGCGUCUAAGGGAUACUGGUAAUCUUGGAACCGGGAGAGGUGAGGGGUACUUCGGGGGUAGGAGUGAAAUCCUGUAAUCCUCGAGGGACCACCUGUGGCGAAGGCGCCUCACCAGAACGGCUUCGACAGUGAGGGACGAAAGCUGGGGGAGCAAACCGGAUUAGAUACCCGGGUAGUCCCAGCCGUAAACUAUGUGCGUUAGGUGUAUCGACGACCACGAGUCGUCGAGGUGCCGAAGGGAAACCGUGAAACGUACCGCCUGGGAAGUACGGUCGCAAGGCUGAAACUUAAAGGAAUUGGCGGGGGAGCACCACAACAGGUGGAGCCUGCGGUUUAAUUGGACUCAACGCCGGGAAUCUCACCGGAUAAGACAGCGGAAUGAUUGCCGGGCUGAAGACUCUGCAUGACUAGCUGAGAGGAGGUGCAUGGCC